rnacentral:rRNA from 1 species
GACGAACGCUGGCGGCGUGCCUAAUACAUGCAAGUCGAGCGAAUGGAUUAAGAGCUUGUUCUUAUGAAGUUAGCGGCGGACGGGUGAGUAACACGUGGGUAACCUGCCCGUAAGACUGGGAUAACUCCGGGAAACCGGGGCUAAUACCGGAUAACAUUUUGAACCGCAUGGUUCGAAAUUGAAAGGCGGCUUCGGCUGUCACUUAUGGAUGGACCCGCGUCGCAUUAGCUAGUUGGUGAGGUAACGGCUCACCAAGGCAACGAUGCGUAGCCGGCCUGAGAGGGUGAUCGGCCACACUGGGACUGAGACACGGCCCAGACUCCUACGGGAGGCAGCAGUAGGGAAUCUUCCGCAAUGGACGAAAGUCUGACGGAGCAACGCCGCGUGAGUGAUGAAGGCUUUCGGGUCGUAAAACUCUGUUGUUAUGGAAGAACAAGUGCUAGUUGAAUAAGCUGGCACCUUGACGGUACCUAACCAGAAAGCCACGGCUAACUACGUGCCAGCCGCCGCGGUAA